rnacentral:miRNA from 1 species
GAUACCCAUCAUGUCUUUUGCUCUACAGUCAGUAAAAUUUAUUUGUGAAUGUGUGGCAAAAGAUAGGAUGGGGGUCCA